GGCCCCGCCCCCGGGGGCACCGCACGUGCCCUGGCCCUGGCCCUGGCCCUGGCCCUGGUCCUGGCCCUGGCCCCGGCC
rnacentral:miRNA from 1 species